rnacentral:rRNA from 1 species
UACGUAGGGCGCAAGCGUUGUCCGGAAUUAUUGGGCGUAAAGAGCUCGUAGGCGGUUUGUCGCGUCUGCUGUGAAAACCUAAGGCUCAACCUUGGGCUUGCAGUGGGUACGGGCAGACUAGAGUGCGGUAGGGGUGACUGGAAUUCCUGGUGUAGCGGUGGAAUGCGCAGAUAUCGAGAGGAACACCGGCGGCGAAGGCGGGUUGCUGGGCUGAUACUGACGCUGAGGCGCGAAAGCCAGGGGAGCGAACGGG